UACGGGGGGUGGCAGCGUUGUUCGGAAUUAUUGGGCGGUAAGACGCGUGUAGGCGGUUUGUUUAAGUCUGAUGUGAAAGCCCCUGGGCUCAACCCAGGAAGUGCAUUGGAUACUGGCAGACUUGAAUACGGGAGAGGUAGUGGAAUUCCUGGUGUAGGAGUGAAAUCCGUAGAUAUCAGGAGGAACACCGGUGGCGAAGGCGGCUGCCUGGACCGAUAUUGACGCUGAGACGCGAAAGCGUGGGUAGCAAACAGGAUUAGAUACCCCUGUAGU
rnacentral:rRNA from 1 species